GGCCCCGUCGUCUAAUGGAAGGACAGGUGCCCCUCAAGCAUCUAACGCAAGUUCGAAUCUUGUCGGGGCCGCCA
rnacentral:tRNA from 1 species